rnacentral:telomerase_RNA from 1 species
CAGACACAUUUUUUAUAAUUGCUGCGUUAUUUGUGUUGUAUAGCGUUGUGGCAAUGUAACACAAAUUAACCACAAAACUAACAAAACUUACAAAAAUCAUGGUGUUACUUGUCCGUUGAUUCACCUAUAACAAAAAUGUAACGGAAAGCUCGCAGCAUUUUUU